rnacentral:rRNA from 1 species
AAUAUUGCACAAUGGGCGCAAGCCUGAUGCAGCAACGCCGCGUGCGGGACGAAGGCCUUCGGGUCGUAAACCGCUUUUCUGGGGAAAGAGCAAGGACGGUACCUCAGGAAUAAGUCUCGGCUAACUACGUGCCAGCAGCCGCGGUAAAACGUAGGAGGCGAGCGUUAUCCGGAUUUACUGGGCGUAAAGCGCACGCAGGCGGCUCUGUGAGCCGGACGUGAAAGCUCCCGGCUUAACCGGGAGAGGCCGUUCGAUACUGCGGGGCUUGAAGUAGGGAGGGGAAUGCGGAAUUCCCGGUGUAGUGGUGGAAUGCGUAGAUAUCGGGAGGAACACCUGUGGCGAAAGCGGCAUUCUGGCCCUCACCUGACGCUGAGGUGCG